rnacentral:rRNA from 1 species
CAAGCGAGUAAUCGUAAGCAAACCCCAAAAAUAAACGUCUCAGUUCGGACUGUGGUCUGCAACUCGACCACACGAAGCUGGAAUCGCUAGUAAUCGCGAAUCAGCAUGUCGCGGUGAAUACGUUCCCGGGCCUUGUACACACCGCCCGUCAAGCCAUGGAAGCCGGGAGUGCCUGAAGUAUGCAACCGCAAGGAGCGUCCUAAGGUAAAACCGGUGACUGGGGCUAAGUCGUAACAAGGUAGC